GAUGCCAUCUGGAGAAUUUGUUGAUUUCUCAGAGCCGUAUUUUAAAAGUUUGUGGAUAAAGAGCCACAAGGUCAGACAAGGGCAUCGGAGAGGGAGGAAGCACCUAGAAAUCUGUUAUUUGAGAAACAGAAGAUGUGGGAGAUUCUUGGAAACGAUCAUCAGACCUGUGUUUGAGGGUUUGAAGAGUUGCGGGAUGGGAGAAUGGCUUGGGCUGGUCCUGUAUUGUUCCAGAAGGUAGAAUCUGAACCUUAGAAAGGAAAGUUGUAAGGACAGAGGCAUUGGCUCUGUUUAAGAAAGAACUUUCCAUUUGAUUCCUUCUUCCAAGGAGGCUGGGAGUUGAGUCCUCUGGGUAUGUCCGAGGCAGGGCCCAUUUGCUGUGGCAGUCUGGGGCAGAGACAGCCACUGGGGCAGAGCCACGCCAAGUCUGCAAGAGAGAACAGUGUCCAGGCCACAGGCGGGAGUGGAGAAGCAAACGGGAGAGGGGCCAAGCCUCAGGAGCCAGGCAGAGAUAGACGGGAAGCUAGCAGCAUUGGCGCAGCCUCAGCUGGCCGUGACCCAUCAGCGGCUUUAUGGAAUAUGUGCAGAGCCAUUAUCUUAAAGAAUCCAAGUUAUAAGAGAGGCCAUGAGCUGGUCUCUGGCAAAGUCAUCGGGUCAGGAAAUGCUCUGAGCCUGGAGGUGUUCAGCAAAUGCCUGGUGACCAUCCAUAUUUUCAUGGGUUCAAUUCUUUUCAUAUUUAAUCAAAAUACACAUAACAUAAAAUUCACCAUCUUGGAUUUUCUUAUGCUGUGCCCUUUGAAAGUGUACAUUUCAGGAGUAUGAAGUCCAUUCACAUGGUAGCCCCGCCACCAUCUGUCUCCACAUCUCUUAUCUUGCACACCUGAAACACUAACCCAUUAAACAAAAACUCCCCACCCCCCUCUUCCCCGUCCCUGGCAACCACCAUUCAACUUUCUGUCUCUAGGAUUUGACUCCUCUAGGUAGUCCUGUAAGCAGAAUCACACAGUGUUUGUCUUUUUGUGUCGGGCUUAUUUCCCUUGGCAUGAUGCCUUCAAGGUUCAUCCACGUUGUAGCAGGUGUCAGAAUUUCCUUCCUUCUUACACCUGGAUAACAUUGUUCACACAUUUUUGUUUACUCAUUUAUUCAUCAGUGGAUACCUGAAUCCAUUGGAUUGGAUUGAUUGAUCCAUAGUCGGAUCAGUUUUGUACCAGGCUCUCUGGUACGCACUGAAAUUAGUUAAUACAAUGACUAUGACUUUCGAGGACCUCACAGGCUCCGUGGCUGUACGGUUGGAGGCAGGGCUGGGGAAGGGGAGUGAGAAAGUGGCAGAUCUGUAAAUCCCCUUUUUUUUUUUUUUUGCUUUUUAGGGUCACACUUGCAGCAUAUGGAUGUUCCCAGGCUAGGAGUCGAAUCACAGCUACAGCUGCCAGCCUACACAAAAGCCACAGCAACCCGGGAUUAGAGCCGUGUCUGUAACCUACACCAUAGCUCUCAGCAUUGCUGGAACCCCCACCCACCAAGUGAGGCCGGGGAUCGAACUUGCAUCCUCAUGGAUACUAGCUGGAGUCGUUUCUGCUGCGCCACAACAGGACCUCCUGUAAACCCAUUUUAAUAACACCUUUUGAAUGAUAAUAUGAUAUAAAGCGUGUACUGGAUGUAGUGGGUACACAGUGAAGGAAUACAUCGGCUCUGGGGGUGGUGGGAAGGGAGGAACAGACUGUUUCUGGAAGAAGGCAAUGUCUGAGCUGAGAUCAAAACUGCUAGACAACCUUUUGUGAAAAACUUCAACCUGGACAAUUGCAUCUAACUCCUUGGGACAGCUUUCAAAAAAUACCGAUCCCAGGAGUUUCUCCUGUGGCACAACAGGAUCAGUGGCAUCUUGGGAGCACUGGGGUGAGGGUUCAAUCCCCUGCCUGGUAUGGUGAGUUAAGGAUCCAUCAUUGCUGCAGCUUCGACUUGGGUCAUGUCUGCAGCUCAGACUUGAUCCCUGGCCUGGGAGCUCCAUAGGCUGCGGGGUGGCCAAAAAUGAAAAAAUAAAAUAAAAUACUGACCCCAGUUCCUGAGCCCAGAUAUUCUGAUUCAAUGACUCUAAGAUGAAGGGCAGGAGCCUUUUUUAAAUAGCCCCUUCUGGUGAUUUUGAUGUUCCAGUCACGUUGGAAGGCACUCGGGAAACACUGCAUUCAUUAGGUCAGGGUUACAUUUUAUUUAAUUAAAUUAAUUAGUUUAUUCCUUUUUCGGCCAUACCUGCAGCAUAUGGAAGUUCCCAGGCCAGGGACUGAAUCCAAGACACAGCUGCGACCUAUGCCACAGCUGUGGCAACACUGGAUCCUUAACCCACUGCUCCACCACAGAGACAACGCCAGAUUCUUAACCCAGUGCCCUGAAGCAGGAACUCCCAGGUUUACAAUUUAGAUAAACCUCUCUGACCUCACUGUGGAGGAGGCAAGGAUAAGCGUUUAAAAAAACCCAAGGUAGAGAAACUAGUUCCAGACCGUGAGUACAACUAUCUCACGGACCAGAGAUGCUGAAGAUGGUCACGUGUGAUGUAUUCAUCCGCCCAUCCAUUCAUUCAAAUACUGUUUGGUGCCCAUCUACCUGCAGGAGACUCUGCUGAAAACGCCUUCCAUUUCUAAGAUCCUGUAUCCUAUUAACCAUAUUUAAAGAUGCUUUAGGAAGUUCCCGUGUGGCGUAGCGGUUUAAGGAUUAGACGUUGCCGACGCUGUGGUGCAGGUUGCCACUGCGGCUUGGAUUCAAUCCCUGGCCUGGGAAAUUUCACAUGCUGUGGGAGUGGCCAGAAAUAAAUAAAUGAGUACACGAAUGAAGAAAGAAAGAAAGAUGCCUUGACCAAUAAAAUGUGGCAGAAAUAAGGUGGUUUGAGUUCUGAACCUAAGGCAUAAAAGUCCUUGCAGCUUCCUCUCUUGCUCCUCUCAGAACCCUGUUGCUACAUCAACAAACCUAGACUAACCUGCUCGAGAAGGACCAACCGCGUAAGACAGAGAUAAGCCAUUCAGCUGACCUGAAAAGUAUAUAAGUGAACCCAAAGGAGAUCAGAGGAAAACUGCCUACCUGAUUCCAGCCAAAUGGCCAAUCCACAGAAUUAUAGGCUACAUGGUGGGUUUUUUUUUUUUUUUUUUUUAAGCCGCUAAGUUUUGGGGUGCUUUGUUAUGCUGCAAAAUCUAACUGAUACACUCUCCUUGGCUUUUAUGUUUUUUAUACAUGCUAUUCCCUCUAUCUUUGUCUCAAUUCCUACUUAUCAUGGCUCAGGAAAAAUUUCCCUGAUCUUUAUUAAGUUAGAUCUCUUCACAUUAAGUUAACAUUGCACUUUUUUGCCCCUCUGCCAGCACUGUAAUAGCUCUGUAAUUUUACAUUUAUCUGUUUAUAUUAUUUGAGUAUGGUCUUUCUCACCUACUAGACCAUAAACUUUGUGAAUCCAGAGACACUGUCUAUAACAUUCCAGCACCUAGUAUAUUUCCCAGCAGAUAGAAGGUGCUCAAUAAAGAUUUGUUGAAUGAAAGACUAUGUUAUACCCCUGGAGGAAACAAGCCUUUGGGGGUUCUUUAAAAUAAUAACCCUCACAUCAGCUCUACUCCUCCCACCAGCCUAGGAACUAAAAACUAGGCAAGUCACUGUAUAAGAAUGUGUCUUAUAAUUUUCAAAGGACUGUUCAAAUGCUAGCUUUUAAUUGUUAGUGGUAUUAUUCUGGGGUGGCAACUGCUGGCUUUGGGGGAAUCCUCUAGCUUUCUCAUUCUCCUAAAAUGGCUCCAGGCAGUCUCUUGUCAGCUACAGUUGUGGCUGGAUAAGCAAUUUACAGGCUGAAAAUCUUGCCUGGAGUUAAAACCUGGAUAUGUAAAUAUCUCUGUAGCUACUACUUUGCAAAUAAUCUCCUGGCUAGUUAAUUGCAGAACUUGGUGGUAAAGAUACCAAUGCUGAGUUCAAUUAAGGACUAUUUACAAAACCAACAGAAGAUUAUUCUGCUUUUUCUGAAACAAUAUGCAUGACUAGAGGGACCUCGUAUUUUACUGUAUAAAUCUAUGGCCCAGACAACACCAUAAACUCUGUAAGUUUGGAGUUUGCAAAACCCAUACCCUAUUUUGAUCCCCCGGAGCUCAGUUUGCAGAAAGAAAGCACAAGGCUAAUUAGUGAAUCAUUCCAAAGACAGAUCCUGUGUGCAACUUUUCUGAGGCUCAGUUUCUUCAUCUGUAAAAUGUACGUAUGAAUAUUCUUACCUCUUAAAUUUAUAUUGAGAUUAAAUGAGCUAAGCAUUGGAAAGUACCAUCAGAACCAAGAGAACAGUGCCAGGCGUAGAGUCAGCACUCGGUACCUUUUAACUAUCACUGGGUAUCAUUAUCACCAUUAAUGCAAUUCACACGCCGGGUUGCUUCCUGGACAACCUACCAGCCUGAGAAGCCUGCUCAGAAAUCCUCCCUGCCCGAUUUUGCUUACUCAGGAAAUGAGUGGGUUUCCUCACAUAGCUGAUGAGUGGUGGUGGUUCAUAAAGUAUACAAGCCUUCGUUCACCAGCCAUGGAUUGAGCACACACUGUGUAUGGUGCUCAGUGUAUUGAGGCGAAUGAGAGAGUCCCUGCCCAGGAACUACAGGGGAGAGAUGAGUUCACCACAGUAAAGCCUCCAUCAGCAUUGAUCCCCGGGUGCUAUGAGAACAUCGACAGGGGCCAACUGCAGCCCAAAAGGUCAGGGAAGGCUUGCUCUGGGCCACCUGGGGUUUCCACAUGGAGAAGAGGGUAAAGCCCUUAUUAAUUUCAUGCAGAAUAGAACAGGACCUUCCUUCCUCCCUAAGAGAUGGUUGCAAUGACCUCUUUGUCAACCCUUUUAUCACAAACUCCAUUAUAGCUGGAAAUGAAGCUUUUAAAAUUAAUAAUCCAAGGACGGAAGGCAUUUUCUCUGAUGCUCAGCAUCUCUGGAGGAAAUGCCAUCAGGUGUUCAUCUCACAUGACACUUUCAGGACCCCCUUUUGUAAAAGGGGGUUUUGUAACAGUGUGAUGAAGAGUUCACAUUGUGGUUUAUUGGGUUAAGAACCCAGCUAGUAUCCAUGAGGAUGUGGGUUCAAUCCCUGGCCUCAUUCAGUGGGUUAAGGAUCCGGCAUGGCCACGUAGGUCACAGAUGCAGUUUGGAUCUGGCAUUGCUCUGGCUGUGGCGUAGGUUGGCAGCUGCAGCUCCAGUUCAACCCCUAGCCCAGGAACUUCCAUAUGCUGCAGGUGCGGCUCUAAAAAGAAAAAAACAAAAA
rnacentral:lncRNA from 1 species